AGCUCUGUAGUGAAGUUCAUAUUGGGUUGCAAACCCAAAGAUGUAGGCUAACCGCCUGCCGGGGCUU
rnacentral:tRNA from 1 species